GGACUAUCAUGUCGGUCGUGCCUCGGUACGUACUGGUAUUGUUGGUUUCUCCCUUCUGACGAAUCAUGAUGUCAUUUAUUUGGUGUGAUGGGGAAUCAGGACUGUUACUUUGAAAAAAUUAGAGUGUUUAAAGCAGGCUCGCGCUUGAAUACAUUAGCAUGGAAUAAUGAAAUAGGACGUUUGAUUCUAUUUUGUUGGUUUUUAGGAUCGAUGUA
rnacentral:rRNA from 1 species